CCCCCGUCAAUUCCUUUGAGUUUUAGCCUUGCGGCCGUACUCCCCAGGCGGGGCGCUUAAUGCGUUAGCUGCGGCACGGAACUCGUGGAAUGAGUCCCACACCUAGCGCCCAACGUUUACGGUGUGGACUACCAGGGUAUCUAAUCCUGUUCGCUCCCCACACUUUCGCUCCUCAGCGUCAGGUAAUGCCCAGAGAACCGCCUUCGCCACCGGUGUUCCUCCUGAUAUCUGCGCAUUUCACCGCUACACCAGGAAUUCCGUUCUCCCCUGCAUACCUCUAGUCUGCCCGUAUCGGAAGCAGGCUCAGGGUUAAGCCCUGAGUUUUCACUCCCGANGCAACAAACCGCCUACGANCC
rnacentral:rRNA from 1 species